UAGGCGCAGGUUUCGGAUAUUUUUUUCAGAUCAAUAACUGGUCGUUUUUAGUCAGAAGAAUAUAAUUUCUUACUUGACUCUCCGCUCAAAAACUUAAAUAAAAUUCUACGUAGAUAAUCAUAAAAUUCAUAUCCUCACCGUCGUGUGGCACUUAGUCUGCAAUGCCAACUAUCCCACGGACGCAACGAUCCGAUAUGGAGGCUUUCUGGUUGAUCCUGAUGACCCCUAUUCGCUAUUUCAAUCCGACUCCGACUUUCUGGCUAUCUUUCGCAGUACGGAUAUCGGUGUCUGUAAAACACUAAAAAUUAAGGGAAUGCACGAAUUCGAAUGCGUCGGUAGAAAUGACAAUACAUGGAUAAUCACAAUGGAAUACAGUCAUCUGAUUUGUCUCAACUAUACCUUCGGAUUGGUGAACGAGCUGGCCGAACAUUGUACAGGCUCAAAAUUGGGUCCAAACAGAUCUUCGGCCUUGUACUACGCCAAUAUAGAGUUGGUUUUGAAACAUAUCGUAUCGGUUCUAAACUGUGGUUUGGCGCCUAGCUCAAAUAUUCUAGUAUUAAUUGUUUCGUUCAUCUUUCUGAUACUUGUAGUUUCACAUUGGCACUAAGAAUGAAAUAAAUUUCCCCCUUUUUAAAUGCCCCAUGAAAUGUA